rnacentral:lncRNA from 1 species
UAAUCAAAACCAAGAAUUUUCAGAAGAACAAGAAAUAAAAUAUUUUUUGCAAAACUUGAUAAAGAGCAGGUAUGGAUACCAAGACAGUAAAUAGUAAAGGAAUAUGAGACAAGGCCAUAACUUAUGUUAAAAGAGAAAACACCCAUGUGAUCAUUUAAAAGAGCUUUACAAUGAUAAAUGUGAAAAAGUUUUUAAUCCAUGUCCAAAAUUUAUUUAUCCAAGCUUUCAUAAUCAAGAGACAAAUUACAGAUAUAAGGAAUCUCCCAAGGAGAGUCUUUCAAGAAGGCAGCAUUGUUACCUGCAAAAACAUACAUCUCUGA